GAUACGGGACUCAUCCGAGGCCCCGUAAUCGGAAUGAGUACACUUUAAAUCCUUUAACGAGUAUCCAUUGGAGGGCAAGUCUGGUGCCAGCAGCCGCGGUAAUUCCAGCUCCAAUAGCGUAUAUUAAAGUUGUUGCGGUUAAAAAGCUCGUAGUUGGACUUGUGUCCCGCGCUGUCGGUUCACCGCCCGCCGGUGUUUAACUGGCAUGGUUCGCGGGACGUCCUGCCGGUGGUGGCGAGUCGAAAGGUUGCCCGUGCUGCGGUUCUGCCGUGGUGCGUAAGUGGCCUGGAGGCGGACCCCGAUUCAAUCCUACCGCGGUGCUCUUCAUCGAGUGUCGAGGUGGGCCGGCACGUUUACUUUGAACAAAUUAGAGUGCUUAAAGCAGGCCGGUCGCGCCUGAAUACUGUGUGCAUGGAAUAAUGGAAUAGGACCUCGGUUCUAUUUUGUUGGUUUUCGGAACCCGAGGUAAUGAUUAAUAGGGACAGUCGGGGGCAUUCGUAUUGCGACGUUAGAGGUGAAAUUCUUGGAUCGUCGCAAGACGAACCGAAGCGAAAGCAUUUGCCAAGUAUGUUUUCAUUAAUCAAGAACGAAAGUUAGAGGUUCGAAGGCGAUCAGAUACCGCCCUAGUUCUAACCAUAAACGAUGCCAGCUAGCGAUCCGCCGAAGUUCCUCCGAUGACUCGGCGGGCAGCUCUCGGGAAACCAAAGCUUUUGGGUUCCGGGGGAAGUAUGGUUGCAAAGCUGAAACUUAAAGGAAUUGACGGAAGGGCACCACCAGGAGUGGAGCCUGCGGCUUAAUUUGACUCAACACGGGAAACCUCACCAGGCCCGGACACUGGAAGGAUUG
rnacentral:rRNA from 1 species